CCUACGGGUGGCAGCAGUGAGGAAUAUUGGUCAAUGGACGCAAGUCUGAACCAGCCAUGCCGCGUGCAGGAAGACGGCUCUAUGAGUUGUAAACUGCUUUUGUACGAGGGUAAACGCAUAUACGCGUAUCUGUUUGAAAGUAUCGUACGAAUAAGGAUCGGCUAACUCCGUGCCAGCAGCCGCGGUAAUACGGAGGAUUCAAGCGUUAUCCGGAUUUAUUGGGUUUAAAGGGUGCGUAGGCGGUCGGAUAAGUUAGAGGUGAAAUCCCGAGGCUCAACUUCGGAAUUGCCUCUGAAACUGUUCGGCUAGAGAGUGGUUGCGGUAGGCGGAAUGUAUGGUGUAGCGGUGAAAUGCUUAGAGAUCAUACAGAACACCGAUUGCGAAGGCAGCUUACCAAGCUACAUCUGACGUUGAGGCACGAAAGCGUGGGGAGCAAACAGGAUUAGAUACCCCAGUAGUC
rnacentral:rRNA from 1 species